AGGUGUGGAUAGGGGAGAAAUUCCAAUCGAACCCGGAGAUAGCUGGUUCUCCUCGAAAUAGCUUUAGGGCUAGCCUCAUGGAUCAUUGGUGGGGGUAGAGCACUGAAUGUGCGCGGGGGCCACAAAGCCUACCAAACGCUAUCAAACUACGAAUACCAUACAAUGCAGACCAUGGGAGUCAGUCCGCGAGAGAUAAGUUCCGCGGGCAAAAGGGGAACACCCCAGAUCAACCGCUAAGGUCCCCAAGUUCACGUUAAGUGGAGAAGGAUGUGGAAUUGCACAGACAACCAGGAUGUUGGCUCAGAAGCAGCCACACAUUUAAAGAGUGCGUAAUAGCUCACUGGUCGAGUGAUUGUGCGCCGAAGAUGUCCGGGGCUAAACGUGACACCGAAGCGAUGGGUGCGUCUGAAGAAGAUGCGCGGUAGAGGAGCAAUGUGCAGAGGCAGAAGCCGUAUCGAGAGGCACGGUGGACACUGCACAAGAGAGAAUGCCGGUAUGAGUAGCGAGAGGCAUGCGAGAAACAUGCCCGUCGAAAGCCCAAGGUUUCCUGGGGAAGGUUCAUCCGCCCAGGGUAAGUCGGGGCCUAAGCCGAGGACGGAAGUCGUAGGCGAUGGACAGCAGGUGUAGAUUCCUGCACUACCGAUGGAAUGAAGCAGUGACACAGAAGGAUAACUCGAGCAGGGUGAUGGUCAACCCUGUGCAAGCAUCAAGGUUGGGUUGUAGUGAAGUACGCAAUCCUAUAAGCUGAGGUGUGAUGCGGACCGAAAUUUUAGUAGGGAAGCGAGUGAGUUCACGCUGGCGAGAAAAGCUGCUAGUAUAUCCAAAGGUACCCGUACCGGAAACCGACGCAGGUGGGCGAGGAGAGAAUCCUGAGACGAACGGGAGAACCCUUGUUAAGGAACUCGGCAAAAUGACCCCGUAACUUCGGGAUAAGGGGUGCCUGCGAGAGCAGGCCGCAGAGAAUAGUCACAAGCGACUGUUUAGCAAAAACACAGGUAUCUGCGAAAGCGAGAGCUGACGUAUAGGUGCUGACACCUGCCCGGUGCUGGAAGGUUAAGGGAACAUGUUAGAGCAAUCGAAGCAUCGAACCGAAGCCCCAGUAAACGGCGGCCGUAACUAUAACGGUCCUAAGGUAGCGAAAUUCCUUGUCGGGUAAGUUCCGACCCGC
rnacentral:rRNA from 1 species